UUUAAAUAUUGUUUUGGUCUUUCCAAUUCGAAAAAAGGGAAGGAAAAAAGGGAUCCAAUUUGAUUUCCAGAAAAAUAAUAAAAAAAGGGGCCCACGUGUAUUUUGGCUUUUUGGGGAGGGAUAAAAGUCUUCUUCUUCAUUAAUUAGAGGGGAUAAGAAAAAGCCCUCAUAGUAGACAAACUCCAUGGCUCAUUUUUCUUCUUCUUCGAGCACAAUUCACACACAGCUGAGACCACAACACACAUAGACUUCAUUCCCUCUAUUCUUCGUCAUAAACACACACAUUACUCACUGAUUUGAAAAUUCACACACAUAAACCAGAUAGAAAGGGAAAAUAGGAUAGAAAAGAGAGUGAAAGGGAGAAAUUGAGAGAAAGAGGGAGAGAGCUUGAGAGAGAAUACAAAAAAGCAAGCGAGAGAGAGAAGCAGCGAGAGAAAGAGAGAGAGCUGAGAACCGCGAGGGAGAAAGAGACUAAAAGAGCGACGAAAAUAGUGAGGUAGGUGUUAUCCAGUGAAACUCCCACCGAAAAAAGCAUAGUAGUCUCUUUCUCGUUCACUGUCACCGAAAAAAGUCCCAAACCACCGAUAUGAACCUCGAAUCCACUACUACCACCGAGAUCUACCGUCGAAUUACAUUCUUCGAUCGUUCGUUCUAACGAGUUUGGCUGGAAAAAUGUUUAGCCGGCGACUGUUGUACUAUUUCAGCCGAAAACACCAUUAAACGACGUAUUAGUGUUAUAUCAGUUCUAUUGGUUUAAUUCCGGUGAAAUUCGAGUUGGUUCCAACGAGGUUUAGUCUCGAUUUGCUUGAUAUUUCUAUUUUCUGAGGGUUUUAAAUCUAUACGAGCUGGCUAUUUUUUUUGGUCUCAAGUUGGUUUGAUUCAUUAUCGAGGUUCGAAUUGAGGUUCUCCGAUUGUGGAUUUAUCUCUGAUAUAUUGAAAUUGAAAGUUGAGGUCCAAUUCUAAUCUUCUCUUCUGUUACUUCAUCAUUUAUUGUGUUUGGUGCAUCGGAUUGAACAUUUGUGUGAUUGAGUGAUCUUGGUUGUUGGUGAACGAUUGCUCAUGUUAUUUCUUUAGUUAUGAAUCAUGUGAUGAAGUGAACCCUCUUGAGUAUUAAAAUUGUUGAUCUAGGGCGGAAUUGAGAAAUUGAUAAAAGGAUGAAUUUGGAUUGAUUAAAGACUUUUGGUUUAAUUUGGUUUAAGUAUAAAUAUGGUUGAAAUACGGUAGUAUCAUGAUAAGACCGGCAAAAGCGUAGGCAAAUAGUAGGAUUGGGUAGGCAAAUUUAGAACUUAUGGAUUGUUUGAGUGUUUGAAAUAUUUGUGGAAUGGUUUGUUUUUCUCGCAUAUGGAAAAUGUAUUCAUUUAGCCGGGGAAUGCCCCGAGACACAUUGUAUUUAUUCACUGGAGAAUGUCCCAAAGUAUUUUGUACCCGGAGAACAUUCGAGACGACGGCCGGAGGCAUCGGGUGAGGCAUUGAAGCUUAGUCUAGGAUUAGUUUAGAAUAAGAUUUAGAUUUCUGUAUUUUUUGAUCUUUUGGGUUUGUAUAAUUCGGACUGAACAUUGCUUUUGGAUUUGUUUUAUUUUGG
rnacentral:lncRNA from 1 species